rnacentral:tRNA from 7 species
GCUUGUCUAGCUCAGUCGGUAGAGCGUAAGGCUCUUAACAAGUGGUCGUGGGUUUGAGCCUCACAGUGGGCG